rnacentral:rRNA from 1 species
UAUUCUUUAUUUUUGGUUUAGCACAAUUGGUUUUGUAAGAUUUGAUUUUAUCUAUGGUAAAAUUUUGAUUGUUGUUUGUUAUUAGUUGUGUUUUGAGUAUUUGGUGAUCGACUUAGAUUAGUACCUAAUUAGGCAAAAUAAAAAAGUUCAGGAGUAAAGUUAUAUUUAAACUGAAAGAAUAUUGGCAGAUUUUCUAAAUUAUCUUUGGAGGUUGAGUGAUAAUUGAGAGCCCUCAUUAACUACUUAAAUAUUUGGCUCAUGUAUGAUCGUUUGUCUUAUUCUUAUGGGAUGAAAUAAUUCUUUUUUUUUUAGUAAAAAAUAGAUAUAUAUUUGGUUUAUGUUUGAGUUAAUUUGACCUACAUUGUUUUAUAUUCUUGGAUUAUUUGUGUGGUUUCAAAUAUGAAAUUGUAAAAGACAGUAAAAAAAUCUUUAUGUUUUUUUGAAGAGUAUUUAGAAGUGGUACAAAUCAUCCA